AUUGAACGCUGGCGGCAUGCCUUACACAUGCCAGUCGAACGGCAGCGCGGGCUUCGGCCUGGCGGCGAGUGGCGAACGGGUGAGUAAUACAUCGGAACGUGCCCUGUCGUGGGGGAUAGCUCGGCGAAAGCCGGAUUAAUACCGCAUACGACCUGAGGGUGAAAGCGGGGGAUCUUCGGACCUCGCGCUUUUUGGGCGGCCGAUGGCAGAUUAGCUAGGUGGGGGGGUAAAUGGCUACCAAGGCGACGAUCGGUAGCUGGUCUGAGAGGACGACCAGCCACACUGGAACUGAGACACGGCCCAGACUCCUACGGGAGGCAGCAGUGGGGAAUCUUGGACAAUGGGCGAAAGCCUGAUCCAGCAAUGCCGCGUGAGUGAUGAAGGCCUUCGGGUUGUAAAGCGCUGUUGGCGGGAACGAAAAAGAGUGUGCCUAUACCGCAGUUUGAUGACGGUACCCGCAGAAUAAGCACCGGCUAACUACGUG
rnacentral:rRNA from 1 species